rnacentral:rRNA from 1 species
UAGGGAAUCUUCGGCAAUGGACGGAAGUCUGACCGAGCAACGCCGCGUGAGUGAAGAAGGUUUUAGGAUCGUAAAGCUCUGUUGUUAGAGAAGAACGUUGGUAGGAGUGGAAAAUCUACCAAGUGACGGUAACUAACCAGAAAGGGACGGCUAACUACGUGCCAGCAGCCGCGGUAAUACGUAGGUCCCGAGCGUUGUCCGGAUUUAUUGGGCGUAAAGCGAGCGCAGGCGGUUCUUUAAGUCUGAAGUUAAAGGCAGUGGCUUAACCAUUGUACGCUUUGGAAACUGGAGGACUUGAGUGCAGAAGGGGAGAGUGGAAUUCCAUGUGUAGCGGUGAAAUGCGUAGAUAUAUGGAGGAACGCCGGUGGCGAAAGCGGCUCUCUGGUCUGUAACUGACGCUGAGGCUCGAAAGCGUGGGGAGCAAACAGG